UCAUUACACUUCAACAAGUUUCUCAUUUCUCUUUUCUCUUUCUUCUAUUUGUCUUUCAUUCCUUUGAAUAUUCUCUUCUAUUUAGAGACGGAAUAAUAACAAUCUUACAAAAAGUAAGAAAACAGUUCUUUAUCUGAUACUUUGUAAGAUACACCAGCAAAAGCAGAUCUCUAAUUAUCAGCAUAUUUAAAGAUGAAGAAAGUAAUUCUGAAAUUGGAGUAUUUCGACGAGAAAAUCAAGCAGAAAGCCAUGAAGAAAGUGUCUGGUCUUGAAGGUAUUGUUGAAUUAAGCUAUAAUUACUCAAUUUCGAUGGCUGUUGAAAAAUUGAGCCCAAAAGUUAAAGAUACUGAAAGUUUCGAUGGUUUUGUGGUGUGAAUUUUGUUGUAGGAGUGGAAUCAAUUUCAAUAGAUUCAAAAGAGAAGAAAUUAACAAUUACAGGGAACAUAGAUCCAGUUUCACUGGUUUCAAAAUUGAGGAAGCUCUGUCACACUGAUAUCGUCUCAGUUGGACCAGCAAAAGAGCCUGAGAAAAAGAAGGACGACGGUGCCAAAAAAGAUGAAGGGGCUAAAAAGGAUGACGGCAAAAAAGAUGAUGGGGCUAAAAAAGGGGAUGAUAAAAAAGGAGGAGCCGAUAAGACGAAAGAAGAAGCUCUUCCAGUAAUGAAAGCUUUUCCAGCUCCUAUAUUUUAUCACUAUAAUCAGCAUCCUUAUCAACAUUAUCAAACCCCUGUUCCUGCUUAUUAUCACCAACGAAGCGUUGAAGAAGAUCCAAAUUCUUGUGUCAUCUGUUGAACUGAUAUUCAUGAUGAAUUUGAUUCAUAUCAUGUUAUCACUGUUACUCUCUAAUAUAUAUUCCCUGCGAGUUUUGUGACUUUUUAAGAAGAAAAAAAAUAGCUUUGUACAAAUUUAUGUUUUCUUUUCCCCAUGAUCACAUUUUUGUUCCAUGUUUAUUACAACAUCUCUUUAUUGAUCUAUAUAUUUGAACAGUGAACGGUGAUUUAAAGGUCAUCUAUUUCGAGUUAUAGAUCGAUCAGAUCAAUAUACGUAUGUUGGAUAUGCGAUGAAUUUGAUUCAUAUCAUGUUAUCACUGUUAGUCUAAUAUAUAUUCCGUGAGAGUUUUGUAACUUUUUAAGAACAAAAAAAAUAGCUUUGUACAAAUUUAUGUUUUCUUUUUACCAUGAUUACAUUUUUAUUCGAUUAAACUGUUUAUUAUAACAUCUCUUUAUUGAUGUAUAUAUUUAAACAUCAAUUUGAAGAUUAUCUAUUUCGAGUUAUAGACCGAUCAGAUCAGUAUAUUAUAGGUUGGACACGCACUUCAUAUCAACUUACUAGUAAUAGAAAAUAAAUCAUAAAAUGUCGUAAUAAAAAUUUGAUUUGGAGUUUAGUAAAGAGUGGAUGGAAGUUAAAAAGAUAUCAUUUAUUUGGUAAAAACGAGUAAUUGUGAAGCAAAGAGGGAAGAAACAAUAUAAUUUGAAUUGGCUACGGAAUUCAAGUUUCCAUGGAAUAAGUCUAAAACUCUAGCUCAAUGUUGGUCAAUGUAUGCUUUCCAAAUAAAGAAUUAAUUUUAUAGACAUAAGAGUCAAUUAGUUCUUUCUAGAUUUGUGAAAUUUUUUCUAAAGUAAUUUAUUUUUAUAAGUUAUGCCAAAUAUGAUUUAAUUAGCCGCCAAAUUUGACAAAUUAUCAUUAAGAAGUGUAAUGAAAUGGACUUGUUAAAUGAUAAAAACCCACAAAAAAACGUACCCCCACAAUUAUUUUUUACGUGCUUCAUCAAUGCCAAAUUGAUUAUCCAUGAUAAUGGCAAGUUUUCUUUUGUGUAAUAAAUAUUUUUUUUUUGAAAAAAUAAAAUAAAAUACAACAAUAUCAUUACAAGUUUGAAAAAAGUUUCUAAAGUCUUUU
rnacentral:lncRNA from 1 species